CCAAUAGCGUAUAUUAAAGUUGUUGCAGUUAAAAAGCUCGUAGUUGAAUUUCGGGAUUGACGUGACGGUCAUGCCUUAAGGGGUAUGAACUGUUACAGUUGAUUUCUCACCUUCUGGAGAAACUUGAUGUCCUUUAUUGGGUGUCUUGCGGAUCCAGGACCUUUACCUUGAAAAAAUUAGAGUGUUUAAAGCAGGCAUUUUUGCUCGAAUACAUUAGCAUGGAAUAAUAGAAUAGGACGGCAUGGUUCUAUUUUGUUGGUUUCUAGGAUCACCGUAAUGAUUAAUAGGGAUAGUUGGGGGCAUUAGUAUUCAAUUGUCAGAGGUGAAAUUCUUGGAUUUAUUGAAGACUAACUACUGCGAAAGCAUUUGCCAAGGAUGUUUUCAUUAAUCAAGAACGAAAGUUAGGGGAUCGAAGACGAUCAGAUACCGUCGUAGUCUUAACCAUAAACUAUGCCGACUAGGAAUCAGACGAUGUUAAUUUUUUAAUGACUCGUUUGGCACCUUACG
rnacentral:sRNA from 1 species